GGAGUUCAGUCUUCCCAGGCCCACCAUUUUGAUCGAGUGCGGAGCAUUCGUCUUCUGGUACGGGGCCAUAGCUCAGCUGGGAGAGCGCGUGCUUUGCAAGCAUGAGGUCGUCGGUUCGAUCCCGUCUGGCUCCACCAGAUGGUUUGAUCACCAACGGCGUUACCGUCGUCCGCGAAACAUCACUUCGCACUCAUUGGUCCGGAUGGACGGUGACGUGCGUGUUUUCUGACAUCGUAAAGAGGAGAUCGAUCCGAGUUUGGAUCAAGCGAAGCAAUUCGCCUGAACCAUUCAUUAUCUCCGGGAUCAUUUCGGCGCUCGCUUUCAAUCGUGAGAUUGGAUGCGGGUUGUAAAUGAUCCCUUUUAGCGAAGCUUGACCGCCUCGCUAUCGGGCCGAUCUUACGAAGCAAGCUGGUCUUUCUAGUCAAUGUCCGGCUGCGCGAUCGCAUUCAUCGAGGAUGCGCGCCUUCAGUGGCAAUUGUGCAGACAACAUUCUGCCGAGUGUGUGGACAUUGAUAAUGAGAGCAAUCAAGUGCCUUAAGGGUGUUCGGUGGAUGCCUUGGCGCUGAGAGGCGAUGAAGGACGUGCUACGCUGCGAUAAG
rnacentral:misc_RNA from 1 species